UGCUAUCAGCCCCGGUAAUAUGCACGCUGCGAGCGUCAAUCGGAAUUACUGGGCGCAAAGCGCGCGUAGGUGCUUUGAUAAGCUAGCUGUGAAAGCCCCGGGCUCAACCUGGGAACUGCAGUUAGAACUGUCUGGCUAGAGUAUAGUAGAGGGUGGCGGAAUUUCCUGUGGAGCGGUGAAAUGCGUAGAUAUAGGAAGGAACAUCAGUGGCGAAGGCGGCCACCUGGACUAAUACUGACACUGAGGUGCGAAAGCGUGGGGAGCAAACAGGAUUAGAUA
rnacentral:rRNA from 1 species